rnacentral:lncRNA from 1 species
GACGGGUGAGGAAGAUCAGCAGGAUCCGAUGGCUGGUUGAACUUGCCGGGGUCGGGAGGGAGGCGAAGCAGGAAGGGGUCGGAUCCAGGGGUCGGAACUGACGGAAGACUGAGCACUUAGGUUCGGUCAACAAAACAGCUGACUAAGGUUAAGGGCUGAGAUCAAACCUAACUGGGAAAGGUUAGGGGUCGGUCGUUACAGCCUACCCCUCUUAAAAAGAAUCUCGUCCCGAG